AUUGAAAGCUGGCAGCAGGCCUAACACAUGCAAGUCGAACGAGUGGCGGACGGGUGAGUAAUGUCUGGGAAACUGCCUGAUGGAGGGGGAUAACUACUGGAAACGGUAGCUAAUACCGCAUACCAUCGGAUGUGCCCAGAUGGGAUUAGCUAGUAGGUGGGGUAAAGGCUCACCUAGGCGACGAUCCCUAGCUGGUCUGAGAGGAUGACCAGCCACAAUGGAACUGAGACACGGGCCAGACUCAUACGGGAGGCAGCAGUGGGGAAUAUUGCACAAUGGGCGCAAGCCUGAUGCAGCCAUGCCGCGUGUAUGAAGAAGGCCUUCGGGUUGUAAAUGACUUUCAGCUGGGAGGCGUUACCCGCAGAAGAAGCACCUGCUAACUCCGUGCCAGCCGCCGCGUUAAUAC
rnacentral:rRNA from 1 species